CAGCAGCCGCGGUAAUACGUAGGUCCCGAGCGUUGUCCGGAUUUAUUGGGCGUAAAUGGAGCGCAGGCGGUUUAGUAAGUCUGAAGUUAAAGGCAUUGGCUCAACCAAUGUAUGCUUUGGAAACUGUUAGACUUGAGUGCAGAAGGGGAGAGUGGAAUUCCAUGUGUAGCGGUGAAAUGCGUAGAUAUAUGGAGGAACACCGGUGGCGAAAGCGGCUCUCUGGUCUGUCACUGACGCUGAGGCUCGAAAGCGUGGGUAGCGAACAGGAUUAGAUACCCCGGUAGUCCCUGUCUCUUAUACA
rnacentral:rRNA from 1 species